rnacentral:rRNA from 1 species
UCGGUCUGGUGGCGAGUGGCGAACGGGUGAGUAAUGUAUCGGAACGUGCCUAGUAGCGGGGGAUAACUACGCGAAAGCGUAGCUAAUACCGCAUACGCCCUACGGGGGAAAGCAGGGGAUCGCAAGACCUUGCACUAUUAGAGCGGCCGAUAUCGGAUUAGCUAGUUGGUGGGGUAACGGCUCACCAAGGCGACGAUCCGUAGCUGGUUUGAGAGGACGACCAGCCACACUGGGACUGAGACACGGCCCAGACUCC